GCGGGGACGGUUUUAAACGGUCUCAAAGCGGUCGUUUUAAACGGUUUGUUCUGGAGGCCUCCACUCUUGAGAAUUCUGCCCUGGGAGCACGACCAGGGCUGCUGGCUGAGGUAAAGUUCCUGAGGCUGCUGAGGACCCCAAAGGAGAAGCGACCUUGGCCGUGGUGCCAAAGUUGAGGGUCCACCGUGUCUGUGCUUCUCCCUCACGUUCCCGAAUUGCUGUUGCUGUCAGGCACCAUUUUCAAAUACCUGAGACAUCUGGACUACUCAAGCCACCCUGCCCUCUCACCUGGGAGAAAAUAGCAAAUGAAAGCUGGUUUGAUGUGUACUGACAAAAGUGAUAUUUUUUCCUUUAGCAAUGUAAAGCAAUAUGCAGAAAAGUAUCUAAAACAAACAAACAAA